rnacentral:lncRNA from 1 species
CUCCCACUGAGAGGCUGCAGGAGAGGUGUAACCCUCCUAUACCUCUUCAAACUGAGGGGCAAAGGCCUUGCUGAUCAUUUUCUACUUCCUAUACUGAUUUUAGCUUUCUUCAUCUCACACUUGUCUUACCAGUAGACUGUGACUAUUAGAGAAUUUACACUAGAAGACAUUACCCAUAUAGAAAAGAUUUUGUCUAAAUCUUCCCUCCCAGCACAUGACUUUUCCUUUUAAGUAAUCUGUUAAAGCAAAAAAGAAAAACAAAAUCAAAACAAACAAACAACUCACUUUCCCCACCAAACGUUUGGUCUGUCCAAUUUUUUCUGUAUUAUCCUGUUAAAAACAGCCUCCAAAUCAAUGUAACAGUCAUCAUCGGUCUUCAGCAACAAAUCAAAACUUGUUGUUUCAACUGUCCAUCGGUAGAAGUUCAGCAGUUUAGAUGGAACAUUUCUGUAAGUGUCAAUAACAUCUACAAAAACAAUGUCAUCAUAGGUACUGCUUUCUUCCUUCAGUAAAGUAUCUUCCUUUUCAAGACUUUUUAUGUGACUUGUAAACCUUUCUGGGCGAGUAUGGAGGCUUUUUAAAAGAGCAUCACCUUCCUGAAUAGUGUAGAUGAAACCACCUGCUAUCCCCUCCACACCUUCUGUGAGUUCAUGUGGCAACAGCCCUUCCCCUGCUGUAAUGACUCUGAAAACACCCCCUCCGUCAUUCACCAUCACUUUGUGAAGGUUUCUUGAAACAAGGCCCUGAAGAUCCUGGCUCUCCCAUACAAUGGUGCCUUCAAAACUCUCUGGCAAAAUGAACUGCUCCACUGGCUUGUACCACAGUCUGUUCACUUGCACUCCACAGCUUGGUGGGCUAAAGCGCGCACUGAAGAGAGCUUCCUCAUGUUCUGCCUGGUACAAUUUGACAGUGAUGUUCCUCUGGAAUCCCAC